rnacentral:rRNA from 1 species
UGGGGAAUUUUGGACAAUGGGGGCAACCCUGAUCCAGCAAUGCCGCGUGUGUGAAGAAGGCCUUCGGGUUGUAAAGCACUUUUGUCCGGAAAGAAAACGCCGUGGUUAAUACCCGUGGCGGAUGACGGUACCGGAAGAAUAAGCACCGGCUAACUACGUGCCAGCAGCCGCGGUAAUACGUAGGGUGCAAGCGUUAAUCGGAAUUACUGGGCGUAAAGCGUGCGCAGGCGGUCCGCUAAGACAGAUGUGAAAUCCCCGGGCUUAACCUGGGAACUGCAUUUGUGACUGGCGGGCUAGAGUAUGGCAGAGGGGGGUAGAAUUCCACGUGUAGCAGUGAAAUGCGGUAGAGAUGUGGAGGAAUACCGAUGGCGAAGGCAGCCCCCUGGGCCAAUACUGACGCUCAUGCACGAAAGCGUGGGGGAGCAAACAGGAUUAGAUACCCUGGUAGUCCACGCCCU